rnacentral:rRNA from 1 species
UACGUAGGGGGCAAGCGUUAUCCGGAUUUACUGGGUGUAAAGGGAGCGUAGACGGUUAAGUAAGUCUGGAGUGAAAGGCCGGGGCCCAAACCCGGGACUGCUCUGGAAACUAUUGAACUUGAGUGCAGGAGAGGUAAGCGGAAUUCCUAGUGUAGCGGUGAAAUGCGUAGAUAUACGGAGGAACACCAGUGGCGAAGGCGGCCUGCUGGACAUUAACUGACGCUGAGGCGCGAAAGCGUGGGGAGCAAACAGG